rnacentral:rRNA from 1 species
UACGUAGGGGGCAAGCGUUGUCCGGAAUCAUUGGGCGUAAAGCGCGUGUAGGCGGCUCGGUAAGUCUGCUGUGAAAGUCCAGGGCUCAACCCUGGGAUGCCGGUGGAUACUGUCGAGCUCGAGUCCGGAAGAGGCGAGUGGAAUUCCUGGUGUAGCGGUGAAAUGCGCAGAUAUCAGGAGGAACACCGGUGGCGAAGGCGGGUCUCGUGGGCCGAUGACUGACGCUGACGGAGCGAAAGCGUGGGGAGCGAACAGG